AUUGAACGCUGGCGGCAUGCCUUACACAUGCAAGUCGAACGGCAGCACGGGAGCAAUCCUGGUGGCGAGUGGCGAACGGGUGAGUAAUAUAUCGGAACGUGCCCAGUCGUGGGGGAUAACGCAGCGAAAGCUGUGCUAAUACCGCAUACGAUCUAAGGAUGAAAGCGGGGGAUCGCAAGACCUCGCGCGAUUGGAGCGGCCGAUAUCAGAUUAGCUAGUUGGUGGGGUAAAGGCCAACCAAGGCGACGAUCUGUAGCUGGUCUGAGAGGACGACCAGCGACACUGGAACUGAGACACGGUCCAGACUCCUACGGGAGGCAGCAGUGGGGAAUUUUGGACAAUGGGCGCAAGCCUGAUCCAGCAAUGCCGCGUGCAGGAUGAAGGCCUUCGGGUUGUAAACUGCUUUUGUACGGAACGAAACGGCCCUUUCUAAUACAGGGGGCUAAUGACGGUACCGUAAGAAUAAGCACCGGCUAACUACGUGCCAGCAGCCGCCGUAAAAC
rnacentral:rRNA from 1 species